GUUUGUGCUUGUGAUGAUGAAAAGUCUUUCCCCAACUUAUCGACAAAUGAAGAUAUUGGUGCUACUUUAAGCCAGAAUUUUCUGAUGCAAGCAUUAAC